rnacentral:misc_RNA from 1 species
AAAAGGGAAAAAAAAAAUGACACCAUAUAAUAUUAUAUAAAUUAAAUCAAAGAACAAAUACAAUCUCGCAAUCUUAAUAUUUUUCAACAAAUCCAACGACUACUGGUUGUUGCGCCAUAACACUCUACUUAUACAACACAUACAGAUGAUUACUAUCCCUAAAUUUCCUAAUUUCUAGAUCAUCUGAGACUCUUAGCGCCAUCAGAUUUUUUUUUUUUUUCCAAAUUUUAUGUGUAAAUACCCAAACAAACCGUUAUCCCUCCCCUUCUGCUCUCUCACAUAACCAUGAGCCUUGAAUAUCCCAUUGAAUGGUGUGGGGAUAAAGGUGAUAACGGCGGCACACUAAAUAUCCCCAUCACUUCCCCAUCCCAAAACCCCUUCCAACUCGACGGCGUUAAGGGAUCCGUCGCUUGAUCCCUCUCCGGUGAAGGAUUUUCUGUUUUUAUCAUCUUAUUAUUAUUAAUAAUAUUAUUGCUGAUUUCCAAGCUCUCCGUCUCCUCAAUCUUCCUUUUCUUAUUAUUAUUAUUAUUAUUAUUCCUUUUUAAAAGGAAGUGAAAAAAAAAUAAAUUUGAAAAUUAUGGACUUGCAAAUCAAGGUAGCCCAAGCCGUUCAUGUCUUGAAUCAUGAUACUCAGUCGUGUAACCGUGUGGCUGCUAAUCAAUGGCUGGUUCAGUUCCAGCAAACCCACGCCGCUUGGGAGGUCGCCACUUCUAUUCUUACCUCCGAUCAGCUUCAUCUCCAUCUUCAGCCUUUUUUCUCCGAUUUUGAAGUCGAGUUCUUUGCUGCCCAGAUUCUCAAGCGAAAGAUCCAGAGUGAAGGAUAUUACUUGCAGUUAGCAGUUAAAGAUGCUUUGCUAAAUGCUCUUCUUGUGGCUGCUAAAAGAUUUAGUUCGGGCCCUCCUCAGCUUUUGACACAAAUAUGUCUUGCACUUGCUGCGCUUGUACUUCGGGCUGUUGAGCAUGGAAAACCCAUUGAGCAGCUUUUUUACAGCCUUCAGACUCUGCAAAACCAGGAUGAUGGUAAUGUUGCUGUUCUGGAGAUGCUUACUGUCCUCCCAGAAGAAGUUGUUGACACUCAAAAUACAGAUACUAGUAUUAGUCCAGCCCAUAGAAGCCAAUACGGUCAAGAGCUUCUCUCGCAUACUCCUACUGUGCUUGAGUUCCUGCUGGAUCAGUCUCAAAAAAUUUAUGAUGGUGGUGUUCAACUGCAUGAAAAGAAUAGAAAAGUUCUCCGCUGCUUACUCAGUUGGGUACGAGCUGGGUGCUUCUCAGAAAUUCCACAAGGCUCAUUGCCAACACAUCCACUUCUAAAUUUUGUAUUCAACUCUUUGCUGGUAUACAUAAUUGCCUCUUGAGUUAACUUAAAUUGUUUGAGAUUGAUAGCGUUCAUGCAGGAAAACUUUUUGGCCAUGGCGGUUAUAGGUUUUAGCUUCAUUUGACCUGGCAAUUGAAGUGCUUGUUGAACUUGCAAGUCGACAUGAGGGGCUACUUCAGGUUUUGUUAUGCAGAGUGCAUUUUCUUAAGGACACACUCCUUCUACCAGCUCUCAGUAAUGGAGAUGAGAAAGUAAUCAGUGGUCUUGCAUGCUUGAUGUCAGAAAUUGGGCAGGCCGCACCGUCUCUGUUUGUGGGGGCAAGUGUUGAGGCACUUGCAUUGGCAGAUGCACUGUUGAGCUGUGUGGCAUUUCCAAGUGAGGAUUGGGACAUUGCAGACUCAACAUUGCAAUUUUGGUCUACUCUUGCAAGCUAUAUACUUGGUCCUGAUUCAGAGAGUGCAAAAAAUGGGAAACAUGCAGAAGACAUGUUGUUUUCUGUUUUUUCAGCAUUACUUGAUGCUCUUUUAUUGCGUGCUCAGGUUGAUGAAUCUAUAUUGAAUGAUGACAGUGGAAUGCUUGACCUGCCUGAUGGUCUUGUUCAAUUCAGGAUGAAUCUUGCUGAACUUUUGGUGGAUAUUUGUCAGCUAUUAAGACCUGUGACAUUUGUGCAAAAGCUUUUCUUUGGUGACUGGGCAUCUGCAAGUGUACCAGUACCUUGGAAGGAGGUGGAAGCCAAAUUGUUUGCUCUUAAUGUGGUUUCUGAAAUUGUUCUCCGGGAGGGCCAGACCUUUGACUUUUCAGUGAUCAUGCAGUUGGCAGCUAUGUUGUCUAGCGGGCCUUCUGACAAGCUCAAGGGGUUUACGUGCAUUGUAUACAGAUCGCUUGCAGAUGUUGUUGGCUCCUAUUCCAAGUGGAUAUCUACUUUUCAAACUAAUGCUAGGCCCCUACUAUUAUUUCUUGCAGCAGGGAUUUCAGAGCCUCAGUCUUCAAAUGCUUGUGCCUCUGCCCUGCGUAAGUUUUGUGAAGAUGCUUCUGCUGUGAUUUGUGAACCCUCAAGUCUGGAAAUUUUGAUGUGGAUUGGUGAGGCUUUGGAGAAGAGGCAUUUGCCUUUGGAUGAUGAGGAAGAAGUAGUUAGUGCAAUUAGCAUCAUCCUUGGCUCUGUUCCAAAUAAAGAGCUAAAGAACAACUUGUUGGCUAGAUUGCUUUCUUCUAGCUAUGAUGCUAUAGGAAAACUUAUUGAAGAAGAUAAUGAUCAUUCUUUUAGACAAAAUCCAGCUACUUACACACAAAUUUUGAGCUCUGCAGCAAGAGGAUUGUACAGGGUAGGAACUGUAAUUAGUCAUCUUGCUACACCUCUGCCAUGUGUGCCUGGUGCAGAUGAUCCUUUAUUUGGACUGCUAACGGUUUUUUGGCCCAUUUUAGAGAAACUAUUUAGGUCUGAACAUAUGGAGAGUAGCAAUUUAUCUACUGCAGCUUGCCGGGCUCUUUCACUAGCGAUUCAGUCCUCUGGGCAGCACUUUGUAAUGCUAUUGCCUAAUGUACUAGAUUGCCUAUCAAGUAAUUUUCUAUCAUUCCAAAGUCAUGAUUGUUACAUUAGAACAGGUAAUAUAAUCCCCUUUUUUUAUUAUGUGCUUUUUUGUAGAGCCCAGUUUACCAUGUGUUUGUUUACUUUAGAUUAUUUAUUUAUUUUGGGGGAUGGUGGCGGUGAUGCGGGAUCAUCAGCUUCUGUUGUUAUUGAAGAAUUCAGCAAUAGAGAGGAGUAUGGACCCUUAUUUGUCAAAAUUUUUGAAAGAUUUACGCAAGCAUCUUCAGUAAUGGGUCUUAAUUCUUCAUACAUAUGUGACCAAGAGCCAGAUUUAGUAGAGGCCUAUACAACUUUUGCAUCCACAUUUGUUCGCAGCUCUCGUAAGGAAGUGUUAGCUGCAUCUGGUUCCCUUCUUGAAGUUUCCUUCCAAAAGGCAGCUAUAUGCUGUACGGCUAUGCAUCGUGGAGCAGCACUGGGAGCAAUGUCAUAUUUGUCAUGUUUUUUGGAGGUGAGCCUGGCAUCUUUGUUGGAAUCUAUGAAUUCUAUUCCUGAAGGAUCAUAUGGUGCCCUAACAAUUCAGGUCAUAUCUCAUAGUGGUGAGGGACUAGUAUCAAGUGUGGUGUAUGCUUUGCUUGGUGUUUCAGCAAUGUCACGGGUUCACAAGUGUGCAACAAUCUUGCAACAAUUGGCUGCCAUUUGUAGUUUUAGCGAGAGAACAACUUUGAAGGCUAUUCUAUGUUGGGAAUCUUUGCGUGGUUGGCUACAUGCAGCGGUGCAGGCUCUUCCAGUAGAGUAUCUAAAGCAAGGGGAAGUUGAAACUCUUGUGCCAAUUUGGUUGGAUGCUCUUGUUGGUGCUGCCUCAGACUAUCUCGAGAGUAAGAGUUGCAACGGAGGAAAAAGUAAUUACGGGCAUAUGCAAGGGAAAGGAGGAAGGGUUUUGAAACGACUAGUUCGAGAAUUUGCUGAUAGUCACCGCAAUGUCCCAUCCUGAAUUUAACAUAACUCGCAUCAAAUGUAAUUGAUACAGUCCAUAGCUUCAAAGAGCUGCUGAGCCUGCUGUUGGUGCUAUCACAGCUGUAAAUUGUUGGCUUGCUUUCAAGCUUGGAAAAUCCAGGGGUCUGUAUUUUAAGCAAAAGUCCCCACAUCUAAUUACUCCCCUGUAGCCUUCAUUUUUGUUCUGUACAGUAUUCUACCAAUCCCAAUUUUUGUCAAACCUCCCAAACACCAUUGUAGGAAAUACACGUAGCAUAUAUACUUCUAAGUAGACUGAGAGUAUCAAUCUGCUAUAGCGGCUGCAAGAGGUGAUAUUCAAUAUACCUGGAAAUAAAUCAAUACAUGUUAGUUCAACCAUUACUGAAGCUUUUUUUUCUUUGAGUUCUAUG